AAAUAUCUCGUAUUGUAUAGAGAUAAAAGCGUGGUGCUAGAAACGUAGCACUCCUUCGCGGAAAUAUAUCGAACGAGCCUCUGCGGAAUGUGCGCUGCGCGUGUAUCGUUAUCAUAAACUCACCGCGAGGACUACUAUUUCACGUAUAUCGAGCAUCGAUUCAACCUCGUGAGAGCUCUCCGGAGCACUGAGAAAGCGAACUUUGCACACCGUUGGCUAAAAAGAAGUAUCGCCAUUUAGCCAACUCUCCGUUGAACGCGGCAACGAGAGUUACGUGUUGUUGCUAAACUUCCGGAUGACAAACACACUUUUUGACAUCCACCCCGGCCAACUUUGUACAACGAGAAAAAAUAUCUACCCGGAACUUUGUAAUGUCGGGGAAUGUCGGUGCGAAAACAAGAGCUUGGGCACAAAAGAGCUCCCGCAUAUGGUCCAGGGAUAACAGACUAAUCGAUGCUUGCUGCGGCACUUGUGCUGUCAAUCGUCGCGGAGUCUUUUUUUGAGACGCCAUUUUAUGACCUCUGCUUAAUAAAAUGUACUAAAAAUUAAAAAAAAAAUGUUUGUAUACUUCAUUACUUCAAUAAUUGAUAUACAAAACUACAAAUAA